GUAAGCAGCACCUCGUGGGCUCCGCACCAGCUCCUGCCUCCAGGCUCCUGCCCGGCCUGAGCUCCUGUCCUGACUUCCCUCAGUGACGAACUGUGAUGCGGCAGUGUGAGCCUUUCCUUCCCAACUUCCUUUUGGGCCGUGAUGUUUUUGUCAGAGCAACAGAAACCCUGCCUAAGACAAUAAACUCGAGCCCGUGACUGAGCCAGGAAGCGGUGUUCCUCCGAGGUCCCUGCCUCAGGCUGCCGUCUUCUUGAGUUCUUGUUCUGCGUCACCCAGGGAUGCAUUGUAACAUGAAACGGUGAGCCCACGAACCCUCCCCUCCCCUGAGUUCCUUUUGAUCACGGCAUUUGUCGCAACAGUGGAAUGAAACCAGGACCAUGACUUAGUGAAAAGGCUCAGAACAGUUCCCUGUACUGAGAAAGUGAAAGGUGGCUCCGUUGUCUCCAUGCAAUUCUGACCAUGGAAGGAAGAGGGACAGGAGCUACAGAAGAGAGAUUGUUCUGGGGUCUUUCCUUGGCCUCCCCUGAGCUCCCCACUCCUGUGAUCUCUGGGAAAGAAUCAGAGAAGACACACAGUGUGUUUAACAAUAUAAAGUGCUGUGCUCCCUGGGGUGUGGGCAGAUGAACGACAGAGGGACCAUCACUUCAACCUACAACUUUUAGGUCGCAGGACAUCACUGAGGGCAGCCAGAGUAGGAACUGAAGCAGAAACCAUGGGAGAAUGCUGCUUAAGGCUCCACCAGCUUCUUGUAUAGUUCAGGACCCUCUGCCCAGAGGUGGACCAUCUUCCAUCAAUCAACAAUCAUAACAAUCCCUCACAGACACGGCUGCAAGCCAGUCUGCUCUGGGCAGUCCCUCAACUGCGAAUCUUCUUCUGCCGUGCCUCUUAGUUGUGUCAAGUCGGCAGUAAAAACUAACCAGGAGGCAGAGGCGAGCCUGGCCUACACAGUGAGGUCCAGGCUAUCCAACGCUAUGUAAUGAGACCCUUUCUCAAAAAACAAAACAAAACAAAAACCUAAUUAGACACUGUGCAAGCAUGAGGACCAAAGUUUGGAUUCCCUAGGAGCCACAUACAUAUACCUGGCUAUCCUGCAACCCCCGUGCUUAGGAGGUAAGACACAGGAUUCCUGGGGAGAGCUGGCUAGAGGGACUCCCUGACUCAUAGAGCUCCAGGUUCAGGGAGAGACUCUGUCUCAGGAAAUAAAGUGGAGAACCAUGGAGGAAGACACUGGGCAUCAGCCUGUGGCCUUCACACAUAUGUACAUACACUGCCUACCUACAGGCAUUCAUACCAUUUAAACAGAGAGAGAGAGAGAAGAGAGGAAGAAGAGGAAGAGGAAGAGGAAGAGAAAGAAGAAGAAGAAGAAGAAGAAGAAGAAGGAGAAGAAGAAGAAG